rnacentral:lncRNA from 1 species
GUCACUUGAAUGUUAUGAAAAUGAAAGACGUUCGAGAAGAUCACUAAACACAAGUCUUUUCUUUUCUUUUCAGCAGCACAGAAAAGAAGUGUUAGGAAUUGCUUUUACCCCCUUUGGUAUCCGACGAAGAAAGAGUGCCUGAAGUUACAUUUUAGAUGCUGAAAUCAUUGCACCUUAAAAACAAAAAAGAUUGAGCUGCACUGCAUUCUUCUUCCGUCGUGCUGUAAUCAGUUCCAGAAUGAUGGAACUUGGGAGAUUCAUGUGACUAAUGAAAGCCAUUCGGAGAUAAAAAGCUUGAAGAGGAGAGCAGCAUCAGCUGGAAUAUUUCGUUCCAUGUUGCAAGAGACAGGGCGAGUUGGCUGGAAUGAAACCUUCUUUUCCAUACAGUUGGCUUGA